rnacentral:tRNA from 1 species
AAGUGUAUAGCUUAGUCAGGUAGAGCAAUAGACUUUUAAUCUAAAGGACUUGGGUUCAAUUCCCAAUACACUUA